CUGACAUUGUAAGGGUCGACGCCGACCUGCUCUCGGAGGGUGCGUAUGUGAGCCCGGGGUUUGGGAUUUCGAGGCCAUAUCCGAGCGGGGUUUGGGAUUUCCAGGCCAUAUCUGAG
rnacentral:rRNA from 1 species